rnacentral:tRNA from 1 species
UGCCUCGUGGCGUAAUUAGGAGCGCGCCGGUCUCUGACACCGGAGGACUUGGAGCAAAACCGAGCGGGGCAACCA